AACACCAGGCGAUUCCGGCGAGUUCCGGCGGCCCUCGCCGGAGCGCAGCACACCCACGAGCUCCCCUCGUGACGGUGCUUCCUUUCCUCCGGCUAGAUCUGCUCCUCACGGCCGCAAGCGCUCGCGCGCGACCCAUCCCCGCUGCUAGGGCUUCGGCUGCCCCCAACUCUGGUGAGCCACCCUCCUCCAUGGACGAGGACGACCACCACGGCCGCACAUGGUCGAGCUCACCGUCGUUUCCUCCGGUGCGGUGAUGGGCCAACGAGCUCCGCCUCCACGGCUCCUAGCUCGGCUUCUGUUCUCCAUGGACGAAUCUCAACUGGAAACAGCAAGCCAUCUCAAGGGAGGGGAUUGUCAAGUCACCCCACUUCCAAUCCAUGGAUGCUAUCCACAAGGACCAAGAUGAUGACGACCAGGAUGGAAGGAGCCCACGCCCGACCCCGACGACGGCGGUUUCAUUUGUGUGCCGGCGUCGACCACAACCUCCCUCUCUGUAAUAUGUACAUCACUAACCCAGUCAGUGGUUAUGAAUUUCGCUCUCUGAAGGACGUGCAACGUUAUAUUGAAUCAGGGGACACAAGUAAAUGCAAUGUUAGGCCAAAGAAGAGAACUGCCCAGGAUGCUUGUAUUACACAGAAUCAAGAUUAUGUGAGUUCCUCCUAUUGUUUUCACUUUCUGUAGCUUGCAUGUUUGUGUGGGCUGGAAAUGUGUGAGAACAAUGCAAUCUACAAAAACAAUUAGCUUCAUCAAUUGGAAGUUCUCAUCGAUUGGAAGUUGCAGGGGAUUCAGUCUCUGACUAAACUGAUUAACUAACUGGUGUAUCUCCUUGGCAUGAUGUGCAUUAGCUUCAUCAAUUACAAUGCCUUGCUAGAGCUUCUGCCCGUGUGUUUAUUUCACACCACAUUCAAAGUUAAAUGUACCUGCGACGCCUCUUUUGGGACUGCUCGUGACGACCAUUCUGUGUUAUCCUGACAUGGCUUGCUAUGCUGUUGCGUCCGUGCAACUCUCUGUAGAAAAGACAGUAAAGUUGUCCACGCGUUGGACCCGAUGGGAGCCCCGACCAAACCACUCCACCGCAGUUCAAUACCUGUCGCAGAUGAUCCAGACGCUGUUGUUUCCAAAGAGAACUCCCAAUGCGGUCGUGAAGAAGCUGUCGUAUAUAACAGUUGAUAAACAUGACAAAAAUUCUCCGCCGCUGUUUGGAGGACAUUAAACCUGGGAGCAGAGGAAGGAAAGCUUUAAGUUGAAUGCUACCAUGAAGGUGUUGGCCGACGAGCUCACGCCCAAAGCGCGAUGAACCACAUACAUUUUAUACCCCUGUUUUCUUGGCAAAAAUACAUUUUACUUCCUCUAAUUUUAAAUAGGAUAUUCUUGGGAAUGAGAUGUAAUUUUAGGAGAAUUACAUUUCAGCAUUUUAUUUUAUCCUGAAACUAUUGAUCUCUCU